UCCGUAGGCGGGUAAUUAAGUCAGAGGUGAAAUCCCACAGCUUAACUGUGGAACUGCCUUAGAUACUGGUUAUCUUGAGUUUUAGUGAAGUAGAUAGAAUGUGUAGUGUAGCGGUGAAAUGCAUAGAUAUCACACAGAAUACCGAUUGCGAAGGCAGUCUACUAACUAACAACUGACGCUAAUGGACGAAAGCGUGGGGAGCGAACAGGAUUAGAUACCCUGGUAGUCC
rnacentral:rRNA from 1 species